rnacentral:snRNA from 1 species
GGCUGUGAGGGCAAACUGGCUACAAUGUCUGUCAUACCAUUGCUCACCAUGGUUGAUUUGCUGCCCUGCCUGGCUACGUGGACAUUCCCUUCCUCCCUUACUGCUCCACUUGGACUCCCUCCUAAAGCUGCAUGCUCAGGCCCAAGGGCAGGGCCAGUCUGCAGUGAAGGAAUGUGAGCAGUGAGCCCCUUGCUAGAGCCUCCAAACAAAUUCUCAUUUCAAAACCAAAAGAUUUAGAGGUAAGGGUUGGGGGGGGGGGAAUGGUUUCCAAAUUGUGGGAUUUUGUUUUUAGGAAAUGUAGCUGUUAGUAUAGUAUUUUCC